CAACUUUUAACAACGGAUAUCUUGGCUCUCGCAACGAUGAAGAACGCAGCGAAAUGCGAUACGUAAUGUGAAUUGCAGAAUUCAGUGAAUCAUCAAAUCUUUGAACGCAUAUUGCGCUCCUGGGCUUGCUUAGGAGCAUGCCUGUUUCAGUGUCAUUUU
rnacentral:rRNA from 1 species